AGUCAUAUGCUUGUCUCAAAGAUUAAGCCAUGCAUGUCUAAGUACAGGCCGAUCCAAGGCUAAACCGCGGACGGCUCAUUAAAUCAGAUAUAAUUCAUUGGAUCUGUAUCAUUGCAAGUUACUUGGAUAACUGUGGUAAUUCUAGAGCUAAUACAUGCCUUUAGAGACUCUGACAGUAAUGGAAGAGCGCUUUUAUUAGUUCCAAAACCUUUCGGACCUUGGGCCGUAAGACUUGGUGAAUCUAGAUAACCUUUGCUGAGCGCACGUCCUUCGUGGCGGCGCCGCAUUCUGCAAGUGUCUGCCUUAUCAGCUCUCGAUUGUAGGCUAAACGCCUACAAUGGCUAUAACGGGUAACGGGGAAUCAGGGUUCGAUUCCGGAGAGGGAGCCUGAGAAACGGCUACCACAUCUAAGGAAGGCAGCAGGCGCGCAAAUUACCCACUCCCGGCACGGGGAGGUAGUGACGAAAAAUACUGUAGCGAGACUCAAUCGAGGCUUCGCUAUUGGAAUGAGUACACUUUAAAUCCUUGUCCAAGGAUCAAAUGGAGGGCAAGUCUGGUGCCAGCCGCCGCGGUAAUUCCAGCUCCAUUAGCGUAUAUUAAAGUUGUUGCGGUUAAAACGCUCGUAGUUGGCUCUCUGUUCUGGACUGGCGGUGUACCUUAGCGGUGCUACUGCUCAGCUCCGAGCUAUCGCCCCGCCGGCUUUGCCUGGGGUGCUCUUUACCGAGUGUCCCUAGUGGCCGGCAUGUUUACCUUGAAAAAAUUAGAGUGCUCAGAGCAGGCUAUCCUAACAGCCUGAAUGGUGGUGCAUGGAAUGAUGGAAAAGGACCUCGGUUCUAUUUUGUUGGUUUUCGGAACCCGAGGUAAUGAUUAAGAGGGGCUGACGGGGGUAUUCGUACUGCGACGAUAGAGGUGAAAUUCUUAGACCGUCGCAUGACGAGCUACUGCGAAAGCAUUUGCCAAGGAUGUUUUCAUUAAUCAAGAACGAAAGUUAGAGGUUCGAAGGCGAUCAGAUACCGCCCUAGUUCUAACCAUAAACGAUGCUGACUAGCGAUCCGCCGCAGUUAUUCCCAUGACCCGGCGGGCAGCUUACCGGGAAACCAAAGUCUUUGAGUUCCGGGGGAAGUAUGGUUGCAAAGCUGAAACUUAAAGGAAUUGACGGAAGGGCACCACCAGGAGUGGAGCCUGCGGCUCAAUUUGACUCAACACGGGGAAUCUUACCAGGCCCUGGCACUGGAAGGAUUGACAGAUUGAAAGCUCUUUCUUAAUUCGGUGGGUGGUGGUGCAUGGCCGUUCUUAGUUGGUGGAGUGAUUUGUCUGGUUAAUUCCGAUAACGAACGAGACUCUAGCCUAUUAACUAGUCGGUGGAUAUAAUAAAUCAGAGUUGUACUCUUGUAGUACUUCUCCCAGGUUAAGGACCAUGAAAGUGGGUGAGGCCGGCUGUGAUUGUUCUGACGGUGGAGUUCCUUGGGUCUGUCGCCAGCGGUUCAGGAUUUUAUCGUCCCGGGCCAAAGGUGGCGGCCUGGCUCUAUUGUUCAGUUCAUCUCUUCAGUUGUGUCGAGCUUACAAUUCUCAAUGGUGUCUAAACCGCAGCUUCUUCUUAGAGGGAUAAGCGGCAGCAAAUAAAAUACUAGCCGCACGAGAGAUUGAGCCAUAACAGGUCUGUGAUGCCCUUAGAUGUUCUGGGCCGCACGCGCGCUACAAUGGAGAGUUCAACAAGCUCUUCCUGCUCCGAAAGGAGUGGGUAACCUUAUCAAAGCUGUCCUUAAAGGGGAUUGGGGCUUGCAAAUAUGGCCCAUGAACGAGGAAUUCCCAGUAGGCGCAGUUCACCAGAUUGCACCGAUUUAGUCCCUGCCCUUUGUACACACCGCCCGUCGCUACUACCGAUUGAAUGGUCUAGUGAGGGCAUCGGACUGGCGCUCAAGGAGUGGUCACCUUUACUUUCGUCGUGCCGGAGGUCUCGUGCCGAAGGUCUGGGGUAAUGUGUGCCGCCUCGAGUCGACGGAAAGAUGUCCGAGCUGGGUCAUUUAGAGGAAGUAAAAGUCGUAACAAGGUUUCCGUAGGUGAACCUGC
rnacentral:rRNA from 1 species